CAACAACACUCACGACUACUCGAGCUGUCCAACAGAUACCGCGGAUAUCCGGAAAUCGCGCAUCACGUGUUCAAUCAACAGGGAGCAGUCACCAAGUUGUUAGGUAAGUCCGCUAUAAUACAUAUCAUGUCGUAUACAAUACAAUCACAACCGGCGAAUACAAAUAUAUUUUAAUAAUACACAACGCGGCACAAUAUAGUGUUAAUAACGAUGAUAAUUUGUCGACACGCGACCGGCCGUCGUCGCUCCCUCGAACGUGGCCGGCGAUCGGAACGGACGGUUACUAUAGUUUGCCAUUUUCCGAUUGACAAAGAAAAAAAAAAAAAAAACCAACAAACGACAGUCUAUAGUUAUUCAAAAGUAUACUUGGGCGCCCGUGUAUCGAUAUAUUUCGGAUGUAUGGUAUAUAAGCGCAAAAAAAAAAAAAAAAACAAAACGUAUUGAUUACAUUCACUACGAAAAAUGGCCGCAAUUUGAGAACGAGUUUUAUUUGAAAAGUCUGCGGUUAAGAAGAAC